rnacentral:rRNA from 1 species
UACAGAGGUCUCAAGCGUUGUUCGGAUUCAUUGGGCGUAAAGGGCGCGUAGGCGGCGGGGUCAGUCGGGGGUGAAAUCUUGGGGCUUAACCCCGAAACGGCACUCGAAACUGCCCGGCUGGAGGGCCGGAGAGGAGAUCGGAAUUCACGGUGUAGCAGUGAAAUGCGUAGAGAUCGUGAGGAAGACCCGUGGCGAAGGCGGAUCUCUGGACGGCUAACUGACGCUGAGGCGCGAAGGCCAGGGGAGCAAACGGG